AACAAUACUUAUUAAUAUAGUAAAAUACAUUGUUAUGAAUUUUUGUCAAAAAAUUUGCAAAAUAAUUUAUGAAAAUUUCUAAAUUUGUUCUAUUGCGCUAUGUAUUGAUGCCUUGCAAUAUGUUCCAAUGGGAUUUGAAUUUUUUAUGGAAAUACUAGAAUUUCACUAUUCUACUAGUGCUUUGUUUUUGUCUCUCAGGAAACGAAAAUAUUUUUUUGCUGUUUGAAUGGGAACUGAAAAUUUUGUUCCUUAGCGUCUAGUGUCUACCAUCUUCCCAGAAGGCUACCAUGCCAUCUCACCAACAACUUUCCACAACAGCAUAGACUAAAAAUGAUUUUAACACAUGGCUGAACCCAAGUACUUGGGACCAUGGGUUGCUGAGUUGAGUGUGAUUUUAAGUUUGUAAGUUCUUUUCUUUGGUGUUUAUCCCUAUCUAUGUAUAGAAAAGAAGGAAUAAAGCAUAUCUGAUAUUCAUGCCUACCAGUAUGGUGUAUCACCAAAAAGGUUUGGAGAGUACAAGGAACUAUGUAGUUUCUUCAAGGUCUUAAUAACUAGUGCAGAUUCAGAUAAUAAGGUCUAUGUCUCCACAGUCCAUGCACACAAUUAUCCUGUUACUGCCUUCCAGUGGCAUCCAGAGGAAAUUUCUGCCUUGAGAUGGAACCGUUCUGGAGAAAAGAUUCCUUGAUAGAUAAAAAUGAAAUUUGCCUAUGUUUAAUUCUAGUAACUUGAAGAACCAAUUUAUGCUGUGAAUGCACAACUAUCCAAAGUAAAAGAGAGAUUUGUGUUGGGAAUACAAGUUACGAUCACGAGUUUGUUGGUUUUGAUAGUAUAUGUAUUUGUUGGAUUAUACUAUAUUUAUGGAUUUUUAUUUUGUUUGAUA